rnacentral:rRNA from 1 species
AGUGAACGCUGGCGGUAGGCCUAACACAUGCAAGUCGAACGGCAGCACAGAGGAGCUUGCUCCUUGGGUGGCGAGUGGCGGACGGGUGAGGAAUACAUCGGAAUCUACUCUGUCGUGGGGGAUAACGUAGGGAAACUUACGCUAAUACCGCAUACGACCUACGGGUGAAAGCAGGGGACCUUCGGGCCUUGCGCGAUUGAAUGAGCCGAUGUCGGAUUAGCUAGUUGGCGGGGUAAAGGCCCACCAAGGCGACGAUCCGUAGCUGGUCUGAGAGGAGGAUCAGCCACACUGGAACUGGGACACGGUCCAGACUCCUACGGGAGGCAGCAGUGGGGAAUAUUGGACAAUGGGCGCAAGCCUGAUCCAUCCAUACCGCGUGGGUGAAGAAGGCCUUCGGGUUGUAAAGCCCUUUUGUUGGGAAAGAAAUCCAGCUGGCUAAUACCCGGUUGGGAUGACGGUACCCAAAGAAUAAGCACCGGCUAACUUCGUGCCAGCAGCCGCCGCCG